AACGAACGCUGGCGGCAUGCCUAACACAUGCAAGUCGAACGAGACCUUCGGGUCUAGUGGCGCACGGGUGCGUAACGCGUGGGAACCUGCCCUUAGGUUCGGAAUAACUCCCCGAAAGGGGUGCUAAUACCGGAUAAUGUCUUCGGACCAAAGAUUUAUCGCCUUUGGAUGGGCCCGCGUUGGAUUAGCUAGUUGGUAGGGAAAAAGCCUACCAAGGCGACGAUCCAUAGCUGGUCUGAGAGGAUGAUCAGCCACACUGGGACUGAGACACGGCCCAGACUCCUACGGGAGGCAGCAGUGGGGAAUAUUGGACAAUGGGCGAAAGCCUGAUCCAGCAAUGCCGCGUGAGUGAUGAAGGCCUUAGGGUUGUAAAGCUCUUUUACCCGGGAUGAUAAUGACAGUACCGGGAGAAUAAGCGCCGGCUAACUCCGUG
rnacentral:rRNA from 1 species